rnacentral:rRNA from 1 species
UACGGAGGGUGCAAGCGUUGUUCGGAGUCACUGGGCGUAAAGCGCGUGUAGGCGGCCUCCUCAGUCUGGUGUGAAAGCCCGGGGCUCAACCCCGGAAGUGCAUUGGAUACUGGGAGGCUGGAGUACCGGAGAGGAGGGUGGAAUUCCUGGUGUAGCGGUGAAAUGCGUAGAUAUCAGGAGGAACACCGGUGGCGAAGGCGGCCCUCUGGACGGAUACUGACGCUGAGACGCGAAAGCGUGGGGAGCAAACAGG